rnacentral:rRNA from 1 species
AUUGAACGCUGGCGGCAGGCCUAACACAUGCAAGUCGAACGAGUGGCGGACGGGUGAGUAAUGUCUGGGAAACUGCCUGCUGGAGGGGGAUAACUACUGGAAACGGUAGCUAAUACCGCAUACCAUCGGAUGUGCCCAGAUGGGAUUAGCGAGUAGGUGGGGUAAAGGCUCACCUUGGCGACGAUCCCUAGCUGGUCUGAGCGGAGGACCAGCCACACUGGGACGUGGACACGGUACAGAGUCGUAUGGGGGGCAGCAGUGGGGAAAAUUGCGCAAGGGGCGCAAUCCUGAUGCAGCCAUGCCGCGUGUAUGAAGAAGGCCUUCGGGUUUUAAAGUACUUUCAGCGGGGAGGCGUUACCCGCAGAAGAAGCACCGGCUAACUCCGUGCCAGCAGCCGCGGUAAUUC